rnacentral:misc_RNA from 1 species
AAGUCGUAACAAGGUUUCCGUAGGUGAACCUGCGGAAGGAUCAUUCAAAUAAAAGCUGGUAGGAAUGGGGUCUUGAUCUGUAAGUGGUAGAGCGAAAGUCGGCUGCCUCCCGAAAAUGUCUUACAUGUCCCCCCACACCUGAAGGCCGAAUUACAACCCUUGAUUAUCUACACUUGUUGUUUGGGGUGCUCAAGUGCCCCAGAGGACCCAACUCUCUUGCAUUAGUGACGUCUGAGUCUAUUAUUUUAAAA